CCCUUAGAUGUUCUGGGCCGCACGCGCGCUACACUGAUGCAUUCAACGAGUUUCUUCCUGGUCCGAGAGGAAUGGGUAACCUUUUGAAAGUGCAUCGUGAUAGGGAUAGACUAUUGCAAUUAUUGGUCUUCAACGAGGAAUUCCUAGUAGACGUAGUUCAUCAGACUGCAUCGAUUACGUCCCUGCCCUUUGUACACACCGCCCGUCGCUCCUACCGAUUGAAUGCUCAGGUGAGCAAUUCGGACUUUCAUCAUGCUGGUUUCCAGUUUUGAUGAAGGAAAGUCUUGCGAACCUUAUCAUUUAGAGGAAGGAGAAGUCGUAACA
rnacentral:rRNA from 1 species